CAAUGAUGAGAGAGGAGGAGCCGUCACCAAACGCGUCGCCGCCGCUGGAGGAGCUUCGCUCUUCGCCGCUGCCGAGGAGGGGAAAGAGGAGCUGCUCCCUCGCCAGUCACCGUCGUGCUUCCUGGUUGCCGAUGAGGGAGCCGCGAGAACCGUUGCCGCCGCGAGAAGGGGGACGCACGAGAGAGAGCCCUCAGUGUGAUCGAUGUCGCAGCUGUUGAGUAAAUAUGUGCUUUUAAUUGUUAUUACUCUUUUCCAAUUGAUUUUAGGAAAUCGAAAUUUUACAGAUUCGACAAGGAAUGGAACCGGUGGAAGGAGAGAACCGAUGGUACCAUCAAGUUCCCGAAGAACAAGGUUAGUAGCAGGGAUGCUAUAACAAAGAGAAUGACUGCAAUUGAAGAAAUGGCCGGAAUGGAUGUCCUAUGCAGUGAUAAAACAAGCACAUUAACUCUCAACAAGCUUACAGUGGACAAGAAUCUAAUUGAGGACUUUGCUGAUGGAAUUA